rnacentral:lncRNA from 1 species
GAGACUCGAGCCCCGGGCUACCUUGCCAGCAGAGUCUUGCCCAACACCCGCAAGGGUCCACACGGGACUCCCCACGGGACCCUAAGACCUCUGGUCUGUGAAACAGAUGACAUAAUAAUGAAAGAGAUGCAAAUAAUGUGAAGAAUAUACAAAUAUGAUAGAGAAGAGAAAAGAAAACAAAACUGCCCUACCCUAAAGCCAUCAUAUUCUGUGGGGGAAAACUGCCACCUUGCACUUUUCUUAGUUUAGGAUUGGCAGAGAACCUUGAUCAGUGUAACAUGAAAGAGAAGUCUACGAAAUAAGGCAAACACAGAGAUUCAUGCAUGGUUGAAAAUGCUGAACAACACUCAUCGAUCCAGAUGUUCUUUAGGACUAAAUAAUUACAGUACAGACCUAAGGGCACCAUGAAGACAACUCAUGAUGAACAAAUAACUUCUUUUCUCUGUACCUCUCUCCUCCAACUCCUGUUUUGAUGGCUUCCUAAACUACUAAGUGCAAUUAGAAAUAAAAGUAGCUCUGUAUACACUGAAAGGCACUGGGAACAAAGUUCUCAUAGCCCUGAAACCCAAGAAGAACCAUACUUUUUAGUGUUGUGAAAAAUUAUUAUUAUCUGUGGUGAAAUGCCUGUUAGAAAGGUAAAAAUCUAUUUUCUCUUCAUGCCAAUAAAUGUGUACA